rnacentral:rRNA from 1 species
CCCUUAGAUGUCCUGGGCUGCACGCGCGCUACACUGGAAGUUACGGAUUGAGAUACUACCUUGUCCGAAAUGGUCCGGGUAAUCACCUAAAAGCUUGUCAUAAUUGGAAUGGAUUAUUGUAACUAGUAAUCCUGAACGAGGAAUUCCUAGUAAGUCCCAGUCAACAGCUGGUACUGAUUACGUCCCUGCCCUUUGUACACACCGCCCGUCGCUACUACUGAUUGGACGUUUAAGCAAGAUUUUUAAACACUGACAGUGUGUAGUUCACGCUAUGCUACAGUGAGAAGAAGAAGAUCGAGCUUACUUGUCUAGAGGAAGUAAAAGUCGUAACA